AUUGAACGCUGGCGGCAUGCUUUACACAUGCAAGUCGAACGGUAACAGGUUAAGCUGACGAGUGGCGAACGGGUGAGUAAUGCAUCGGAACGUGCCCGAUCGUGGGGGAUAACGCAGCGAAAGCUGCGCUAAUACCGCAUACGAUCUGAGGAUGAAAGCGGGGGACCGUAAGGCCUCGCGCGAUCGGAGCGGCCGAUGUCAGAUUAGGUAGUUGGUGGGGUAAAGGCUCACCAAGCCGACGAUCUGUAGCUGGUCUGAGAGGACGACCAGCCACACUGGGACUGAGACACGGCCCAGACUCCUACGGGAGGCAGCAGUGGGGAAUUUUGGACAAUGGGCGCAAGCCUGAUCCAGCAAUGCCGCGUGCAGGAAGAAGGCCUUCGGGGUGUAAAGUUCUUUUAUAUGUGAGCAGUGCUUCUUAUAUUAACAGUAUGGGGAGAGAGAUAUUAGCAUAUGAAUAAGCAACGGCUAACUCCGUG
rnacentral:rRNA from 1 species